rnacentral:rRNA from 1 species
CCUACGGGAGGCAGCAGUGGGGAAUAUUGCACAAUGGGCGCAAGCCUGAUGCAGCAACGCCGCGUGAGGGAUGACGGCCUUCGGGUUGUAAACCUCUUUUAGUAGGGAAGAAGCGAAAGUGACGGUACCUGCAGAAAAAGCACCGGCUAACUACGUGCCAGCAGCCGCGGUAAAGACCAGCAGCCGCGGUAAU